rnacentral:rRNA from 1 species
GACGAACGCUGGCGGCGUGCUUAACACAUGCAAGUCGAACGGACAGGCCCUGCUUUUGUGGGGUGCUCGAGUGGCGAACGGGUGAGUAACACGUGAGUAACCUACCCUUGACUUUGGGAUAACUUCAGGAAACUGGGGCUAAUACCGGAUAGGAGCUCCUGCUGCAUGGUGGGGGUUGGAAAGUUUCGGCGGUUGGGGAUGGACUCGCGGCUUAUCAGCUUGUUGGUGGGGUAGUGGCUUACCAAGGCUUUGACGGGUAGCCGGCCUGAGAGGGUGACCGGCCACAUUGGGACUGAGAUACGGCCCAGACUCCUACGGGAGGCAGCAGUGGGGAAUAUUGCACAAUGGGCGGAAGCCUGAUGCAGCAACGCCGCGUGCGGGAUGACGGCCUUCGGGUUGUAAACCGCUUUCGCCUGUGACGAAGCGUGAGUGACGGUAAUGGGUAAAGAAGCACCGGCUAACUACGUG